GUUGUUGUGGAGAAAUCAAUUGUGUGGAACGGGUUGUUGUGGGGUUGAGACCUUAUCAGCUCUCCUUACUCUUUACCUUUUUCACGCAAUGCACUUUCUCUUUAACAAGUCAACAUCAAUUUCUUUUGUUGUAAAAGGGCCGGCGGAAGGUGGCUUUCUUUUCGGAGAAAGUGUUUAUAGCCGUUGGUCUCUACAAUCGGAGAGAUUGAGGUCUGCAGCGUAGAUCCUUCGGGGUUAGAUACGUUGGUGCUAAGUUAUAAUCCUAUAUAGACAACUUGUUGACUAUAUUCGAUCAUGUAGCUUACUCGCUGGCGCUAUUUUACCUAC
rnacentral:rRNA from 1 species